UACGUAGGGUGCAAGCGUUAAUCGGAAUUACUGGGCGUAAAGCGUGCGUAGACGGUUACGUAAGUCGGAUGUGAAAGCCCCGGGCUCAACCUGGGAAUUGCAUUCGAGACUGCGUAGCUAGGAUGCGGAAGAGGGAAGCGGAAUUUCCGGUGUAGCGGUGAAAUGCGUAGAUAUCGAAAGGAACACCAGUGGCGAAAGCGGCUUCCUGGUCCAGCAUCGACGUUCAGGCACGAAAGCGUGGGGAGCAAACAGG
rnacentral:rRNA from 1 species